rnacentral:rRNA from 1 species
CCUACGGGUGGCAGCAGUGAGGAAUAUUGGUCAAUGGGCGCGAGCCUGAACCAGCCAAGUCGCGUGAAGGAUGACUGCCCUACGGGUUGUAAACUUCUUUUGUAAAGGAAUAAAGUGAGGCACGUGUGCCUUUUUGUAUGUACUUUAUGAAUAAGGAUCGGCUAACUCCGUGCCAGCAGCCGCGGUAAUACGGAGGAUCCGAGCGUUAUCCGGAUUUAUUGGGUUUAAAGGGAGCGUAGGUGGUCUGAUAAGUUAGUUGUCAAAGAUUGCGGCUUAACCGCAAACCUGCCUUUGAUACUGGUCGACUUGAGUGCAGUUGAGGUAGGCGGAAUGCGUGGUGUAGCGGUGAAAUGCUUAGAUAUCACGCAGAACUCCGAUUGCGAAGGCAGCCUACUAAUCCGCAACUGACACUGAUGCACGAAAGUGUGGGUAUCAAACAGGAUUAGAUACCCCUGUAGUC